AACCUGCGGAGGGAUCAUUACACAACAAAAUAUGAAGGCCUGGCUUUCGCGGCCGGCUGAAGUAUUUUUUUCACCCAUGUCUUUUGCGCACUUGUUGUUUCCUGGGCGGGUUCGCCCGCCACCAGGACCAAACCAUAAACCUUUUUUUCUUAUGCAGUUUCCAUCAGCGUCAGUAAAAACAAUGUAAUUAUUACAACUUUCAACAACGGAUCUCUUGGUUCUGGCAUCGAUGAAGAACGCAGCGAAAUGCGAUACGUAGUGUGAAUUGCAGAAUUCAGUGAAUCAUCGAAUCUUUGAACGCACAUUGCGCCCUUUGGUAUUCCAAAGGGCAUGCCUGUUCGAGCGUCAUUUGUACCUUCAAGCUUUGCUUGGUGUUGGGCGUUUUUUUGUCUCCCUCUUUCUGGGAGACUCGCCUUAAAACGAUUGGCAGCCGGCCUACUGGUUUCGGAGCGCAGCACAUUUUUUGCGCUUUGUAUCAGGAGAAAAGGACGGUACUCCAUCAAGACUCUACAUUUUUCACUUUUGACCUCGGAUCAGGUAGGGAUACCCGCUGAACUUAAGCAUAUCAUAA
rnacentral:rRNA from 1 species